UUCAAGUGCUUUUAUUAAGCAAUCAAGAGCAAGUCAAGAUUCAUUCAACAAAUAUGUAUUAACAAUUAUUUUGUGCUAGGUCUUGUGUAAGGUGUUGUGGUUACCAAGGUGAACGCCCCCAGUCUGGUAGAGAAGGCAGACACGAAGAUGCAUGAAGGCCGUGUGCAGUGGGCUCGGUGCUGUGACAGAGCCAGUUUAUGUUUCCUAGUGCUUCUCAAGACAGCCCGUCGUGCUUCUCAAGAACUGACCCCGUCCGAUUUCAGCCAACCUGCCUGGCAAGAUCUAGGCCGAGGCUAACGGUGUGUCUGGACAACACAGAACAAUUACCAGCAAGUGGGUGGCAACUGACUGGAGUAGUCCAGAGGUGUGCAGACUGGCAGAGGACGGCCGGCUCGGGCUCACAUGUUGCCCUAUGCAAAAUCACAGACUGCAUGGCCGCUCUUCGGCUCGCUCGAGAGAGGACCGCACGGCUGUGCACACACACCGGAAGCUUCAGUCCAUAGUGAGUUAGGUGGGAAGACGGAAUCUUGCAGAAGCUGGCCAGACCCCUCACAUGUGGUUUGGUAGAGGGGACAGUAAGCAGGGAGUUUGGAAAAGUGAGAGAGCUCUGUACACCAGAGGACAUCACAUUAAGCUAACCCGACGUCCCUACUCAAUUCUGCAGAGGGUCACCUGUGUACAGCUCUUUGCUUUUGAGUCUGACCCUGACUUUCACUGCUGACCCGUUCUAACUUUGGCAGGAAAGAGCAAGCACCAGGAUCGCUCUAAACAUCACAGCAAAAUACUGCACUCCCCUCGCAACGCCCACAAAUAACUUUUUUUUUUUUUUUUUAAGUAAUCUCUACACCCAACAUGGGGCUCAAACUCACGACCCUGAGAUCAAGAGUUGGACGUUUUACUGACUGAGCCAGCCGGGCGCCCCAAUAACCAUCUUUUUCUUUUCUUUCUUUUUUUUUUUAGGAACAAAAAAACCCUGAUUCCCCAAUCCUAACAUAUUUUAGAUCUGAGUCCCAAAGUGUGUUUUCAGCAGACUUGAUUUACUGUAACCAAAGUACAUUCUAACACAACCUUCUUUGGACUUGGCGUUUGCUUCUUUUUUAGAUUGGCAUUUUUAUUUUAAAAUAUUUUCUCAGUGGUUUCCUUUUCCUAGCCCAGAUGAAAACACGGCUUGACUUGAGCUUUUUAGCAAAUUAAAACAGGUUAUUCUUCUAGGAGCAGAGUUAAAUGUGUUCCCAGAGAGAUGCCAAAUGCCACUUUAUUUUUGGUUGCAGUUCUCUCAAGAGGGCCUUUUAAUAGUUCUUGGAGUGGGGAUGGUAAUCUCUGGAAACAGGAUAAACGGGGAGAAGAUUACCCUGCCCCAAGUCCUUUCUUUUCCUUUACACUUGAGGCAACUAUAUUAGAGGUUGGACGUAGUGAAUCUCACAGUUGAACUCGGAAUUACCUGCUGCUGCUACUAGAUUUUGUGUUGGGAUCAGGAAGACUUAAGAAGCGAAACCUAAUGAU
rnacentral:lncRNA from 1 species